rnacentral:rRNA from 1 species
AAUGAACGCUGGCGGCAUGCCUUACACAUGCAAGUCGAACGGCAGCAUGACCUAGCUUGCUAGGUUGAUGGCGAGUGGCGAACGGGUGAGUAAUGCAUCGGAACGUGCCUUUUAGUGGGGGAUAACGUAGCGAAAGUUACGCUAAUACCGCAUAUUCUCUGAGGAGGAAAGCAGGGGGCCUUCGGGCCUUGCGCUAGAAGAGCGGCCGAUGUCGGAUUAGCUAGUUGGUGAGGUAAAGGCUCACCAAGGCAACGAUCCGUAGCGGGUCUGAGAGGAUGAUCCGCCACACUGGGACUGAGACACGGCCCAGACUCCUACGGGAGGCAGCAGUGGGGAAUUUUGGACAAUGGGCGCAAGCCUGAUCCAGCCAUGCCGCGUGAGUGAAGAAGGCCUUCGAGUUGUAAAGCUCUUUCGGCUGGGAAGAAAUCGCACUCUCUAAUACAGGGUGUGGAUGACGGUACCAGCAUAAGAAGCACCGGCUAACUACGUG